rnacentral:lncRNA from 1 species
CCGCUACGUUUCGGUAUGAUAUACGGUUAAAGUGAAAAACAUGUUUUAGUUUUAAAAUAUUGAAAGAGACUUUUUAACGCGACUCAGUUGGAUGCGCAGUGUAGUUACGCCAAACUGGCUUAUUGGAAUUUAGUAAAAAUAUUGUAAUAACUUGUUGCUUUGCCAGUAUGGGCAAACGUCCAUUGAGAAGUUAGAAGAAGCUUUCAAGAUUGCGAUAAAGAUAUGGAUUUGACUUAAAAACAUUGUACUGUAAAACCACGUGGAAGAAAUAUUAUGACCAUCUCGAAAGACUGUGAGUGACUUACUUGGCUAUUAAUCGUGCUUGGACAAAGGCUUCGGUGUUGUCAUCGUUAAAAGUAUACGUCGGCCUGCGAACUGUUGCUGUAUGUUACCAUAUCAUCACUUUAUGAGAAUAAUACGCAUAUAUUUGUUGGGAUUCAGCUAGAUUUUAAUUUCAGAUCAUAAUGUGACUGAUAUAUGGGAAUAAUGAUAAAGGUGUCUUUCACAAGCUUGUUGAAGUUUGCUUAUGUUGAAAUGUCGAUGAUAGCGCGGAAUACCAACAUUAAUGAAAAUGGUUAUUUGAAUACGUCGUACUGUAGAGCCCAAAGAAAAUUAAUAACUAAGCAUGUUGAAAGAUCGUGAGUCGUUUAGAUAAAAGCGUAUAGUGAUGACAUCAUUGAAAUUCUACGUCUAUACGAACAGUUCCUGUAUCGCUCGAUCCAUUGUACAACGGAUGUAGUAAUAACAUGCGUGAUAUACUGUAUACUUGUUGAAUGGUCUGCAAAAUAAUAGAUUUUAAAGCUCGUGAUCACAAUGUGACUUAUAUACGUGAAUAAUGGCAAAGCUUCUUUCUACAAGCUAGUUGCAGUUCAUCUUCGGGUAAAAUGGAUGAUUUGUGAAAGCCAAACAAUAUACACGAUAAGAACAUUGUGCUGUAAAGCCACAAAAAAUACUUGCAAUAUCAUCUCGAAAGAUCCUGUUGUACUGUUGCAAUUAUUCGCGUUUAACGAGUCGCUCCUAUAUCUAUCACCAUACUAUGAUGCGUCAAUGCAGAUACAUUCGUACAGAACGUGUAGCAUAAUGCGUGACAUAUAUUUGUUGAAGAUACAGUGCCAUAAUUAACGUCAACAACGUGCAUGACAUACGUGUGAGGAAUGAUAUCGUUUACUUUUCACAAGCUAUGGUAGUUGGUAUAGAUUUUCUGAAAAUCGCAGCCCAUGAUUUAUUGAACACAUGCAAUAAUUAAUAUAUUAACUAUGAAACUAAAGUUAUUGAUAUCGAAGAAUAAAAAUGAAAGUGGUUGUUUUGAAUGAAAGGAGCAAUACAACGGUCGGUCCCAAAAUUAUAUGGUACAAGGUCAAAGCGUAAAGAUUUGAAACAGACUUCGCGCUGGAGAAGAAAUUUGAGAACAUCCAAAGGCGUGCAACCUAGAAACGGCUUGAACAACUAUAUUAUUUGACUUGGUCUCACUUGGGAUCGCGAAAUUACGGAUUUGGUGUUCCUGUAUAUAAGCCAGUGAACUGUUACAUUACGUUGACACUUUUACAUAUUAAUGCUUACGAGUAUAUGCAUUUGGCAUCAAUCAUGGAAGGGGUAAAUAUUCGGCAAGAACAUUUUCUCGAAGUAACACUCACAAAUCAUGGUGUGGUUAAAUUUUGGAACAUGUACUCUACCCGAAGACUAUGUCAAACUAUGUAUACUUUAUGUUUCAUCCAAUUUAAGAAGCAAAGAAGAGAGAACAACGAGUACUGAAGAAGAAUUACCUUUAGAUACUAAGAAUUAGUUCUAGUAGGCUAUAAUAUUUUUUGUAGAUUAGAAUAACUAUCGUUGUAAAGUUUUUUCUAGGAUGAUUAAUAAGCA